CCACAGUUUGCAGUUAAUGAUAGCCCUGACAGUAUUUCCUCAAGUUCUAGAAUGCAAUGUUAAAUAUGUAAAUAUUUAAUUGAGACUGCUACUUUUUAUUUGGCAAACAAGAGGGAGAUAGCCUAACUUUUAGAAGCAAAUAUUUCUGAUAGUACCACAUUCAUUAAUAGCAUUAUAAUGAGAUGAUAUAGUACACUGCAGUAUG